rnacentral:tRNA from 1 species
GGUAGAGUAAGUUAAUUAAAACUUUUGGGCUCAUGACCCGAAGAUGGUAGUGAAAGGCUACCCUCUGCUU